rnacentral:misc_RNA from 1 species
AUCAUUACAGAGUUGCAANACUCCCUAAACCAUCGUGAACGUUACCCAAACCGUUGCUUCGGCGGGCGGCGCCCCUGCGCACCCCUGGGCCCCACCGCGGGCGCCCGCCGGAGGUCACCUAACUCUUGAUACUUUAUGGCCUCUCUGAGUCUUCUGUACUGAAUAAGUCAAAACUUUCAACAACGGAUCUCUUGGUUCUGGCAUCGAUGAAGAACGCAGCGAAAUGCGAUAAGUAAUGUGAAUUGCAGAAUUCAGUGAAUCAUCGAAUCUUUGAACGCACAUUGCGCCCGCCAGUAUUCUGGCGGGCAUGCCUGUUCGAGCGUCAUUUCAACCAUCAAGCCCCCGGCUUGUGUUGGGGACCUGCGGCUGCCCGCAGGCCCUGAAAACCAGUGGCGGGCUCGCUGUCACACCGAGCGUAGUAGCAUACAUCUCGCUCAGGGCGUGCUGCGGGUUCCGGCCGUUAAACGACCUUCAUAACCCAAGG